UACGUAGGGUGCGAGCGUUAAUUCGGAAUUACGUGGGCGUAAAGCGUGCGCAGGCGGUUCACAAGCUCGAGUGUGAAAGCCCCGGGCUUAACCUGGGAAUGGGCAUUGAGGACUGGUGGAGCUCGAGUGCGGGCAGAGGGAGGUGGGAAUUCCACGUGGUAGCAAGUGAAAUGCGUAGAGAUGUGGAGGAACACCGAUGGCGAAGGCAGC
rnacentral:rRNA from 1 species